GAUUAGUUAGUUGGCGGGGUAAUGGCCCACCAAGACUGUGAUCGGUAUCCGGCCUGAGAGGGCGCACGGACACACUGGAACUGAAACACGGUCCAGACUCCUACGGGAGGCAGCAGUGGGGAAUUUUGCGCAAUGGGGGAAACCCUGACGCAGCAACGCCGCGUGGAGGAUGAAGUCCUUCGGGACGUAAACUCCUUUCGAUCGGGACGAUUAUGACGGUACCGGAAGAAGAAGCCCCGGCUAACUUCGUGCCAGCAGCCGCGGUAAUACGAGGGGGGCGAGCGUUGUUCGGAAUUAUUGGGCGUAAAGGGUGCGUAGGCGGUUUUGUAAGUCUUAUGUGAAAUCUAUGGGCUCAACUCAUAGACUGCAUGAGAAACUGCAGGGCUUGAGUGUGGGAGAGGUGAGUGGAAUUUCCGGCGUAGCGGUGAAAUGCGUAGAUAUCGGAAGGAACACCUGUGGCGAAAGCGGCUCACUGGACCACAACUGACGCUGAUGCACGAAAGCUAGGGGAGCAAACAGGAUUAGAUACCCUGGUAGUCCUAGCCCUAAACGAUGACUGCUUGGUGUGACGGGUACCCAAUCCCGCCGUGCCGUAGCUAACGCGUUAAGCAGUCCGCCUGGGGAGUACGGUCGCAAGGCUG
rnacentral:rRNA from 1 species